UCUUGGACUUCCAGCCCCAAGAGCUGUGAGAAACUAAAUGUGUAUUAUUUAAUCCCCCUGUUCUGUGGUAUUUUAUAAUACAGCCCAGCAAAUGAAUAUACCAAGGUAAGCCAACUUGUAUUGGAAGUAAAGAUACAUUCAGGGUGGUAAAAGUAUGGGACUUUGAAACAGGAAGGCUGUUUCUGGAUUUACUGGGGCUCAUGGCAAUGUUGGAAUCACAUUCUGACCUUUGACUCCAGUGGAAGAAGGCUAGUCACUGGGGGCAGAGACGGCUGUCUGAAGAUAUGGAGCUACAACAGCGGACAUUGUCUGCACACACUGAAACAUGGCAAGUCGCUUCCUACCAAGGCUCCCCAUAACAUAAUGAUGCAAGAUUGGGCAUUUGUUGUCAAGGUAGAAGAAACAAAUGAGAUGGGAUCUAGGGUGCACGUGACAAUCCUACAUUCUUUUUCUCUGGCCCUUCAUUUUACCAAUGACUUUAAACUUCUACUGAGGAGAGAUGUACUUUACAUGAAUGUAUGUGCUCCCAGCUAAGCCUUGUGCACCUGCUCCUUCAUCACCCGGUAUGUUUAUCUGCGUUCUUAAAAGAGCUUAGCUUUUCUAAACAUUUUAAACAUCACAUAAGUCAAAAUAUGGGUGAGCAAACUAAAAGCUAGUCUGUUUUGUGUGUUAGUGACUUUUUUUUCCAAGGCCACUUUUCCACUUGUUCAUGUGCUGUACCUGAUUUUGGUCGAAUUUCCACAAUUCUGGCCUGUUGACUUUCCAUGAGGAAGAUAAGAGGCAAAAGCUUUUCAACUACCAGAGAAUAUAAAAGAAUCCAAAGUAAAAAAAGACAAAAAUCACUCAAAGUAAUGAGUUUGUGAUUCCAAGUUCUGCUUUUGACCUGCCUGUGUUCACUUGUCUCCUCACUCAGGAGGAGCCGGGCACCGUGUAGGGUCCUGUCAGGAGAAGGCGAGCUUCUUCCCAAAGCUGAGCAAGGGCAGAACCAGCA